AGCUGGCGCCGCGCGUAGCCGAAGCGUACCCGGCCGGAAGCCGCUGUCGGGGAGCCGGCGGUGGGGCUGGACGCAGGUGCAACUGACAUGGGUGAACCCCGGGGGUCCAUGCGGAUUCUAGUGACAGGGGGCUCUGGACUGGUAGGCAAAGCCAUCCAGAAGGUGGUAGCAGAUGGAGCUGGACUUCCUGGAGAGGACUGGGUGUUUGUUUCCUCUAAAGAUGCCGAUCUCACGGAUGCAGCACAGACCCGCGCCCUGUUUGAGAAGGUCCGACCCACACACGUCAUCCAUCUUGCUGCAAUGGUGGGGGGCCUGUUCCGGAAUAUCAAAUACAAUUUGGACUUCUGGGUAAGUGAGGGUGGCCCCAGCAAGCACUGGAAACCAGGAUCCCAGGUUCUGGGAACUUCCUGGUGGGCUUCCCACUCUCACAGGCCCACAUUCCCAGCCCAGGAAGUCCCUGAGGAUCAGGGCUUGGCACAGCCUGGUGGGGGCAGCCCCUGAGGAACCCUCAGUCACUCACACCUGGGUGCUGUGGACAGAGGGUCAUGCAGGUGGGCCUGGAGGCACUUG
rnacentral:sRNA from 1 species